ACUUUGACUCAAUCUGCACGAGGACUAUGAGCGUGUGCUUAAAACUCAAAGAACUUGGCGGCUUUCUAUCUGUCUAGGGGAAUAUGUAACUUAAUCCGAUAUUACUCGACUCAUCUUACUGGGCCUUGUAAUCAAACAGCUAGUGUAUUGCCGUUGUCAGUUGGUUGUUGAGCAAGUAAAAACUAACUUUACAUAGACUAUCCUCUCUAAGGUGAGGUUAUUCUUGAAUUCAGGUCGAAAUGCUGUCUAUGGCCCAGGGUUUAGGUGUUACAAUUUUUAUUUGAAUUUUGCCGGAUUCUUUCCUGAAUCUGGGUUGAUGAAGAUGAACUUAGUUGUAAGGGGGGAGUAGAGUGCCCCCCUGAAACUGCUAUUGACUGUGUACAAACUGCCCGUCGCUCUCGACUAUAGUGGAGAU
rnacentral:rRNA from 1 species